GAACAAAGUUGCCUGAUUGAAGUGGCAUAUACUUUGGAUGAAGGUUGGCAAUUACAGUUUGCAUUUCUCCAUGCCUCUCAAAUUUGUUUGAAGAUGGCCUCGAACAAAUUGCAACAUU